AUUGAACGCUGGCGGCAGGCUUAACACAUGCAAGUCGAGCGGGGGAAGGUAGCUUGCUACCGGACCUAGCGGCGGACGGGUGAGUAAUGCUUAGGAAUCUGCCUAUUAGUGGGGGACAACAUCUCGAAAGGGAUGCUAAUACCGCAUACGUCCUACGGGAGAAAGCAGGGGAUCUUCGGACCUUGCGCUAAUAGAUGAGCCUAAGUCAGAUUAGCUAGUUGGUGGGGUAAAGGCCUACCAAGGCGACGAUCUGUAGCGGGUCUGAGAGGAUGGUACGCCAAACUGGGACUGAGGCACGGCCCAUACUCCUACGGGAGGCAGCAGUGGGGAAUAUUGGACAAUGGGGGGAACCCUGAUCCAGCCAUGCCGCGUGUGUGAAGAAGGCCUUAUGGUUGUAAAGCACUUUAAGCGAGGAGGAGGCUACUUUAGUUAAUACCUAGAGAUAGUGGACGUUACUCGCAGAAUAAGCACCGGCUAGCUCUGUGCCAGCCGCCGCAGUAA
rnacentral:rRNA from 1 species